rfam:Clostridiales bacterium Nov_37_41 Ley3_66761_scaffold_7578, whole genome shotgun sequence.
UUAAAGGCAUUGAUGGUGCACAGUAAGAAACCAAGUGUUUCCGAAUUUCACACCGUAGCUGUAUCUCUGAAUGCGAUGCAACAAUCAUUUUCAUAUCAUGUAUCAGUAGGAGAUAACGGAGUCUGCCCGUUACGCAGAGACUUAAGUGCUUAUGGUAAUUAAGAAGAAGUUUAACGAUACCAUAGGAAUUAGGGUGGUACCGCGAGUAUAUAUUAAGAACUCGUCCCUUUG